CCUACGGGUGGCAGCAGUGAGGAACAUUGGUCAAUGGACGAGAGUCUGAACCAGCCAAGUAGCGUGAAGGAUGACUGCCCUAUGGGUUGUAAACUUCUUUUAUAAAGGAAUAAAACGAGGCACGUGUGCCUUUUUGCAUGUACUUUAUGAAUAAGGAUCGGCUAACUCCGUGCCAGCAGCCGCGGUAAUACGGAGGAUCCGAGCGUUAUCCGGAUUUAUUGGGUUUAAAGGGAGCGUAGAUGGGUUGUUCAGUCAGUUGUGAAAGUUUGCGGCUCAACCGUAAAAUUGCAAUUGAUACUGGCAGUCGUGAGUACAGUUGAGGUAGGCGGAAUUCGUGGUGUAGCGGUGAAAUGCUUAGAUAUCACGAAGAACCCCGAUUGCGAAGGCAGCUUACUAAACUGUGACUGACAUUGAUGCUCGAAAGUGUGGGUAUCAAACAGGAUUAGAUACCCCAGUAGUC
rnacentral:rRNA from 1 species